GAGAGGGAAGGCAGCGGGGCGGGGCCGUCCCCGCGCCCCCUGCAGGCGCCCGGCCCGGGGCGAGCCCGCCGAGCCCCGCCGAGCCUGACCGCGCCGCCCCCGGCGCGCCGGGCGCUGUCUAGCCGGUCGGUGGCUGGCCGCCGGGCGGGGAAGACGCUGCGAGCGCGCCGCCCGCGGGGCUCCUCGGAGGCGGCGGGGCAGGCCCGAGCCGGGCUCCCGCGGCCGGGGUGGGAGGAGGAGAGGCCGCGCGGCGCGGGUGAGUGCCCAGGUCCAUUCAUGCAGAGGGCAUUUACUGGGUGACUGCAGUACUGCAAAAGGUUGCAAAGGAAAUGGAAGAUCUGAUCCUUCAGUUAAUGUCUUUUGCCUGUAACUCUAUUGGAAGUUCUGCAGUGGAAAGCGGAGAGAUGAUGAUUGGUCUCACUUAGGGCAGUUUCCUGUCUCUGGACCAGUUGGAAACAGGCCGGUGAGGAAUGGCAGC